AUACGGAGGACGCGAGCGUUAUCCGGAUUCAUUGGGUUUAAAGGGUGCGCAGGCGGCCGUGCAAGUCAGCGGUGAAAGCCCGGGGCUCAACCCCGGAAGUGCCGUUGAUACUGCAUGGCUGGAAUGCGGUCGAGGCGGGCGGAACGUGGCGUGUAGCGGGGAAAUGCGUAGAUAUGCCACAGAACGCCGAUAGCGGAGGCAGCUCGCCAGGCCUGCAUUGACGCUCGGGCACGAAAGCGUGGGGAUCGAACAGGAUUAGAUACCCUGGUAGUCCACGCCGUAAACGAUGGGCGCUCGUCGUCGGCGACAGACAGUCGGCGGCCAAGCGAAAGCGAUAAGCGCCCCACCUGGGGAGUACGGUCGCAAGGCUGAAACUUAAAGGAAUUGACGGGG
rnacentral:rRNA from 1 species